rnacentral:lncRNA from 10 species
GUGAGAUUUCAUCACUACUCGGAAUGGCUACAUAUACUGGCCAAUCAGAAGAAGAGAGAGCAGGCUAACAAAAUUCUGAAGAUAGCACUGACUCAGCACCAUCAUCCUUGUGGCAUGAGAAUUCACAUACCCAUGGAUUUAGACUGGGAUGCUUGAUUUAAUUCCCCUUUAUAAGGGAUUAAAUUAACCUUGACUAGUUUAGAUCAAUGAAUCUCAGCAAAAGCAGAAUAACCCUUUCAGAAAUUUGAAGAAGCUUUUCUUUUUUUAAAAAAACUGUUUUGAUGAUUUGAUAGAAUUACAGGCAUUAGUAAGCAAGGGUAGGGGAAGGUGAAAGAUGCUAAAAGUCAUACACAAAAUAAUCCUUCAUAAGGAAGAAUUUUUGAGAGUUCUGCAAGACAUUCUAAUAUCCUCCUAGACAUUUGUACAGAAAAUUAUGUAUAAUAAAAAUUGCUACCCACCCAUUAUCACUUAUCUUAACAAUAGUUUUGCUUUAAGUUACAAGUUUGCUUGUAUGGAAUGGCUUCUCAUCUUCUAACUUCUCUUAAAUUUGAAUUUAUUCAUUUUAAAAUAGCAUAACAAUUUAGUUACUUGAGUACGUCUCUAGGUUAGUUGAGACUGAACAUUUACGUAUUGAACCCUAUAUUGUAGUAUUAAAAAUCACAUUAUUUUAUCCUUUGCAUUACAGUUAAAGCAUUAUAUCAAUUUUUUCUGAAUAAAUGAGUAGGCAAUUCUCAUUUUAAGAUAAAGAAGGUGUGAGAAAAUAUUUGUAUUGAAAGGUUAGCACUGAGACUGUUUGAACCGAGACCUACUGUCUUGCAUCAGUUAAUGCCAACAACUGGGUACAUGGCUGACAUAAAACAGAGGCAGCAUAAUAAAAGGCGAAUGACCAAUUUUUCUAUGUGUAUUCUUAGUACUUGUGAUUAAUCAUUUUAAUAAAGAAUUAUAUAAAUAAUUUCUUGUAAAAGAUAAGGUAUUCAAACUACCUUAGUACUUGUGAUUAAUCAUUUUAAUAAAGAAGAAUUAUAGAAAUAAUUUCUUGUAAAAGAUAAGGUAUUCAAACACAGAUGAUCUUAUUGUUGAUUAUUAGUAUGGAGCCCUUGAUAUAGUCUAAAAAUUUAUUUUGUAUAAUAAUAUUUUGGAGCUAUGUACAAUAUUUGAGAAUUAAAGAAUAUAUGUUAUUUUCUUUCUUUCCUUCCUUCCUUCCUUCCUUCCUUUCUUUCUUUUUUGAGAUGGAGUUUUGCUCUGUCACCCAGGCUGGAAUGCAGUUUCACGAUCUCAGCUCACUGCAACCUCCACCUCCCUGGUUCAAGC